rnacentral:rRNA from 1 species
ACUGAACGCUGGCGGCAUGCCUUACACAUGCAAGUCGAACGGCAGCACGGACCUCUGUCUGGUGUUGAGUGGCGCACGGGUGAGUAAUGCCUCGGAACGUACCCUUCAGCGGGGGCUAACUACACGAAAGGAUAGCUAAUACCGCAUAUUCGCCGAGGAGGAAAGCGGGGGCUCGCAAGACCUCGCGCUGAACGACCGGCCUAUAACAGAUUAGUUAGUAGGUGGGGUAAAGGCCUACCAAGGCGACGAUCUGUAGCGGGUCUGAGAGGAUGAUCCGCCACACUGGGACUGAGACACGGCCCAGACUCCUACGGGAGGCAGCAGUGGGGAAUAUGGGACAAUGGGGGCAACCCUGAUCCAGGAAUGCCGCGUGAGUGAAGAAGGCCUUCGGGUUGUAAAGCUCUUUCGGCCGAGAAGAAAUCGCGUGAGUUAAUACCUUGCGUGGAUGACGGUACCGGAAUAAGAAGCACCGGCUAACUACGUGCCAGCAGCCGCCGUAA